rnacentral:tRNA from 3 species
CGGGGCGUAGCUCAGCUUGGUAGAGCACCGGCUUCGGGAGCCGGGAGUCGCAGGUUCAAAUCCUGUCGCCCCGA